rnacentral:rRNA from 1 species
GAGGAAUAUUGGUCAAUGGGCGAGAGCCUGAACCAGCCAAGUAGCGUGCAGGAAGACGGCCCUAUGGGUUGUAAACUGCUUUUGUAUGGGGAUAAAGUCAGUCACGUGUGAUUGUUUGCAGGUACCAUACGAAUAAGGACCGGCUAAUUCCGUGCCAGCAGCCGCGGUAAUACGGAAGGUCCGGGCGUUAUCCGGAUUUAUUGGGUUUAAAGGGAGCGUAGGCUGGAGAUUAAGUGUGUUGUGAAAUGUAGACGCUCAACGUCUGACUUGCAGCGCAUACUGGCUUCCUUGAGUACGCACAACGUUGGCGGAAUUCGUCGUGUAGCGGUGAAAUGCUUAGAUAUGACGAAGAACUCCGAUUGCGAAGGCAGCUGACGGGAGCGCAACUGACGCUGAAGCUCGAAGGUGCGGGUAUCGAACAGGAUUAGAUACCCUGGUAGUCCGCACAGUAAACGAUGGAUGCCCGCUGUUGGUACUUGGUAUCAGCGGCUAAGCGAAAGCAUUAAGCAUCCCACCUGGGGAGUACGCCGGCAACGGUG